UUACUGUACAUUUUGUUUUGGACGCACCUUGAUUGAGAAGUGUGCCACUGAUUGAAAAGUGUAGUUCCUAAUAAAUUAUUAUUAUUAAUAGGGAGCUUUCGGUUGUACGACGCGACAGGACGUAAAACGUAUUCAAAAAAUAAGAAAAACAAAACCGUCCAUAUCUACAGAGGGUAACCCUUCCAGCGUAUCCUGAAAGUUCGGCUGAUAUUCAGGGGCCCUCUCAAAUGAAAUAAUAUGAAAAGCAAUGCUUUACAAGCGAAGUUUUACUACGAGGCUUAGGAAGUGGAGAUGAUUUGUACUCUGGAAGGAAAGCUUCUUAACCACCUAGUUAUUCCACUACAAUGAAUGACGUCACUAAGAAGUCAUCUCGUGGAUUUGGAGAACGUAGGACGGUGACGUAUGAAUGAAUCAACUUUGGCGUCGCACGUACAAAGCCCCCUUAUGUGCAUGCUGGGAACCAAGCUUUAGUGUGCACGUGUAUGUACAAAUCUGAGACAACUUAUAAAGUUGUCUCUGGUACAAAUUGAUCAAGGUCCGCUUUUAGUAUUUUUAUUGAUUGACAUUGUGUAUUUUUAGAAAGCUUUUGAAGAUUAGGCUUAGCCUAUUAAGAUAAACUUUACGACAAUAAACGACAUAAUUUAAUUUAUUCGUAUACACUGUAGAAAAAAAGAACAAAGAAAUCAGAACAUCAAGAUACCACGAUCCUUUCACCGAGCAUGAAUGCACAACAGAUUUCUGGCAAUGUUAUUUACGACAAUAAGGGUGGCGCUACUAUCCAAGGAGGCACAGACAACCCAACUUACAUGGACAUGCCCGUUAAAACAGCUUAGAACACUUAAUGUAUUGUUUGCCACCAACUAUGAAUUUAUGAGUUUGUAAUAAUGGAGAAAGUGGAGGAGGGUAAACAAUGAAUGAAAGGGGAUUUGUAAAGAAAAAAAAACUGUAAAUCGUGUAACGGUUUACCAUUUUACUAUUUUAUAUUGUAUGUUUUAAAAUGCUUCUUGAUAUUAUUAACGUUAUUUUAACGUUUCAUCAAAUUAAUAUUAGUCAUUGGCUGUUUAAUGAUUGCUUUAUUUUCGUUUAACAAAUAUAACAUUCAUUAUUAUUACUCGAGAAAAAAAAAGUCUAGUUCAUACGAUUGUUAAUGAAUUGUAGUUUAUUUUGGCUUGCUCACAAAGUGAUACCAUAAUAAACUUUGCCUCCGCAUUUACCUGCUGCUUGAAUCCUUAUAGGCCGUGAUGUAGUUUACGUUUGUGUUUACGUGUUUACAUCUUGAAAAAACUAAUAAGUCCGUCACUGCAAGGUAAAUAGUACGUAAACAGGAAUAAGAAAUGUUAUCGUCUGAUUGGUUCUCGAACGAGAUAAGGAAAGCUCUCUCAUACAUUUUUUACGCAUUCGUUAAUCAUUUAUAUACUUCAGAAUGUGUGAGAGUCACUUCUUGAUAGGUUAAAUUUGGCAAAUUUUACCACCCACAUUGAAAAACUUUAAUUAUAUAAUUCAUCGUGUGGUACACCCAUGUCACUUCGGUAUCGGCUAAUUCAUUUAUUUCGACGGGAAAAUUUUUGUAUUCAAUAUUUUAUAUACUGUAGUUGAAUUUAAAACGUUACAUUUUGAAAUAUUUAGCAAGCAAAUAGCUAUUCUGCGUGGCUCACAGCUGUCUCUUAUGACUGAUGUUAUGAAGAUCUAAACGGAGCCACCGUACUAGAUUUAUCGAACAAACGGAUGAAGGUUGAGGGUUUAAGAAAUAUUGAAUGUUACAGAUCCGGUGUAGGACCUUGUAUUUACUUGGAAUUAAAUCAUUAAAUAAUUAAUCGUCAUAAGACCACAGGGUACUGGUUUAAAAGUAAUGUUUCAGACUGUAGUAUGUUAGUAAAUUUAUCAUGAAAAUACCAAUUAUAUUUUCGAUAAAACAUGUUUUACCCUCAUCCUAUUUAGGGAUGCUUCGUUUAUUUUAACUUCUAUAAAGCCGAGCACUUACUGCGCUGUACGGCGAAUCCAACCCCGCUCCUGUUGUGAGCGUUGGACGACGCUACGCCGUCUGCUGAUUGUCGGUGGUAAAUCUGAACGGAUCCGUGUCACGCACGUCGUGGCGUUGCGUUCUCCAUACCGUCGGGCGCAGUGAUGUCCCGGCUGAACACUGCUGCACACUGUUAAGCAAUGGACCUUUCCGCUAAGCUCCGCCCCUUGGAUUUUGUUGCUAAGGUCCCACAAGACGGCAGUGUUAAAACAUACGCGAACACGUGCGUUUGUGGGACAACACGUGUGUCUGUAAGACGCGCACGUAUUCCUAGCGCUGUUCUGAUUAGUCAGUUGUUAAGUUUGAUUGACACUUCGGAAAGGUCUAUUCGUGGUUUGUACUGCUCCAGCCCAUAUCCAAGGUCAAUCGACAUAAACUACGUUGUGUGUGCAUGUGCAGUUUAAACUAUAAAUUGUCUUAUCUACACAUCCAAGCCUAAAGUAUGUUUGUCUUUAUGUAGGCAUGUGUGCGGGUGCACAUGUGUGCGUAUGUGGAUGUGUGUCAAAGCUUCUUUUUAAAGAAAAUAAAUGGGCCUACUAUACUUUUGAUAAUAUCCUAAUCCUGCUCUGUUUUGCGUAUGCCUUGACCUUUUUUGUGGGCAUUUCAUUUUGAUCUAACCAUUAUUAUUGUUUUAGGAAAAAUUUGAAAUUUCAAAGCUGCACUGUUUUUCUUUGUAUUUUUUUUAUAAUGAAGACCAAUACAUUUUCUUGUAUCUUUUCCUAAAAACCCAAAUGGGAAACAUGUUUUGUGGAAUGUUUGACCUAAUUGUAUAUAAUUCUUACUGCUUGUUUUUAAAAUUUUACUUUUGUAUUGUUAGUUCAAAUUAUCACGUUUUAUAAAAAUAUAUAAGUAAACAUUUGUAUGGAACAACUAUGGCUCUGGCGACGCCAAAGAAACAUCAGACUGCCUCUGUAAUUGAGAAAGAUUUGUAGUUUAUCGAAGGGUAUAUAUUAAAUUGAUUUGUAUUUUAGAAUAAA